GAUAAACGCUGGCGGCGUGCCUAAUACAUGCAAGUCGAGCGAACGGACGAGAAGCUUGCUUCUCUGAUGUUAGCGGCGGACGGGUGAGUAACACGUGGAUAACCUACCUAUAAGACUGGGGUAACUUCGGGAAACCGGAGCUAAUACCGGAUAAUAUUUUGAACCGCAUGGUUCAAAAGUGAAAGACGGUCUUGCUGUCACUUAUAGAUGGAUCCGCGCUGCAUUAGCUAGUUGGUAAGGUAACGGCUUACCAAGGCAACGAUGCAUAGCCGACCUGAGAGGGUGAUCGGCCACACUGGAACUGAGACACGGUCCAGACUCCUACGGGAGGCAGCAGUAGGGAAUCUUCCGCAAUGGGCGAAAGCCUGACGGAGCAACGCCGCGUGAGUGAUGAAGGUCUUCGGAUCGUAAAACUCUGUUAUUAGGGAAGAACAUAUGUGUAAGUAACUGUGCACAUCUUGACGGUACCUAAUCAGAAAGCCACGGCUAACUACGUGCCAGCAGCCGCGGUAAUACGUAGGUGGCAAGCGUUAUCCGGAAUUAUUGGGCGUAAAGCGCGCGUAGGCGGUUUUUUAAGUCUGAUGUGAAAGCCCACGGCUCAACCGUGGAGGGUCAUUGGAAACUGGAAAACUUGAGUGCAGAAGAGGAAAGUGGAAUUCCAUGUGUAGCGGUGAAAUGCGCAGAGAUAUGGAGGAACACCAGUGGCGAAGGCGACUUUCUGGUCUGUAACUGACGCUGAUGUGCGAAAGCGUGGGGAUCAAACAGGAUUAGAUACCCUGGUAGUCCACGCCGUAAACGAUGAGUGCUAAGUGUUAGGGGGUUUCCGCCCCUUAGUGCUGCAGCUAACGCAUUAAGCACUCCGCCUGGGGAGUACGACCGCAAGGUUGAAACUCAAAGGAAUUGACGGGGACCCGCACAAGCGGUGGAGCAUGUGGUUUAAUUCGAAGCAACGCGAAGAACCUUACCAAAUCUUGACAUCCUUUGACAACUCUAGAGAUAGAGCCUUCCCCUUCGGGGGACAAAGUGACAGGUGGUGCAUGGUUGUCGUCAGCUCGUGUCGUGAGAUGUUGGGUUAAGUCCCGCAACGAGCGCAACCCUUAAGCUUAGUUGCCAUCAUUAAGUUGGGCACUCUAAGUUGACUGCCGGUGACAAACCGGAGGAAGGUGGGGAUGACGUCAAAUCAUCAUGCCCCUUAUGAUUUGGGCUACACACGUGCUACAAUGGACAAUACAAAGGGCAGCGAAACCGCGAGGUCAAGCAAAUCCCAUAAAGUUGUUCUCAGUUCGGAUUGUAGUCUGCAACUCGACUACAUGAAGCUGGAAUCGCUAGUAAUCGUAGAUCAGCAUGCUACGGUGAAUACAUUCGCGGGUC
rnacentral:rRNA from 1 species